ensembl:snRNA U4 U4 spliceosomal RNA
AGCUUUGCGCAGGGGCACUGUCAUAGCCAAUGAGGGUUAUCCAAGGCACAGUUAUUGCUAAUUGAAACUCAUUGAACAAAAGAAGCCUAAGGCAAAAGGUACACUCACA